rnacentral:misc_RNA from 1 species
CAAAAAUUUCCCUUUUGCUGCCUCUCUCUUGCUGUCCUAGCCUUUCCUUGGCCAAAUCGACUUAAAAGACGAAAGGAUUUACUUAUUGAUUGCACCAAACUUUAAGGAUUAAAUGAAUUAGUUUUAAACAUUGAGGCACUCCAAUAUUAAUUAAGGCAUAAUUAAGGGACUACAAAAUAUAGUUUCCUUGCCUUAACCCAAAGAAAAAGCUAUAAACGACGUCAUUUAUAAACCACUCAAAACUCAAGGCGCUUCUUCAGAUUCUUCCGCAAAGCUUUCCCAUAGAUUUCCGGAAACACAACCACCCACCAAAUCCAAAAUCACCCAAAACUCUGCCUUCCAGUCUCUGAUACAUCCUCUUUCAAUCAGAGUCCUUCUCAUAGUAAUAUCUUUUAGACUUUGUGGCAAUGGGUGGGCUGCCUUUGCAAAAUGCUUCCUCAACCUUAGCUCUGCCAGGAUCAGAGCAAAAUAAGGGUUCAGCAAUCUCAACAUCUGUACGAGAAUCAAAGCCAAAAAAGAAGAUUUGCUGUGCCUGCCCUGAAACUAAGAAGCUGAGAGAUGAAUGUAUUGUGGAGCAUGGUGAAAAUGCUUGUGCAAAAUGGAUUGAGGCUCAUCGUCAGUGCCUUCGAGCUGAAGGUUUUAAUGUUUGAGAUUGAUUCAAAUGGUUAAGUUGAUAAUUUGAUACUUAUUUGGGGCGUAGGUUACUUGCUUUUGGAACCGUACAUGCCACAGUAGUUAAGGAAUAGAACAAGAAAAGGGCCGCUUUUCUUGACAAUUUGUGUUUCAACUUGUGCAAUUUAUUGAAAUUAUGAGGCAGUCUUAACAAUUCAAAGUAGACGGGAGUACAUGAUGCGCUCUAGUCAUCUGAUAUUUUUCUUGAGAUGCCAUUGGUAUUCUGCUACUUUCUAAUUGUUUAUGUUAGAUAUUGUUUUUGUUGGUUUAAAGGACUUGGACCUGAGGUCUAAUGGGCAUCACUACUCGCAAGGUAUGCAAUUGCAACUGUGGGAGGAUGCCUCAGUGACUGCUACCAGAUUGAGUUGAACAUCUAAUGCAGGCAACAUAUCCCCGUACUUGUAACACCUUGACGUUGUCUUCUCAUCUGCUCCUUAUUUGGAACCAUUUAUGAUUGUGCCAUGGUGCCCAUACGGAUAUAGAAAACAGAUUCUCUAAAAUUUAAAUUUACUUUUAUGCCAUUACUUAUCAUCGUAGCGUGCAUGCUAUUUCUUCAGUGUAGAAAACAUAUUCUUCCAGCUUUCUUCUUUCCCUUUAAGUUCAUAUUGGGGAUUAGUUAUUGUUGUAUGACACUUCAUUCGUGGGAUCUCUAGGUCCUAGCUAGAUGCAGGGUGCUUCACUGAGAUAGUAUUUGUAAUAUUUAUACUUAAUUUAACCUGUAAAUACAGUUAAACAAAUAGUGUGAUCUGGGAAUUUAUUUAGGGCUCCUUUGCCAAUGGAGCCGAAUAAUUAUAGCUAUGAAGUAAGAAUCAAAACAGUUGGGAAACGAAAGAAACUAGUUAUCCGGAAAAGAUAACUAGAAGAAGGUUUGUACUAUUAGUAAUUCAUUAAUUAAGCCACACAAAGGCCAUAGAUGUGGCCAUUAAACACUCUAUGCAAGGAAACAUAGAGUAUUUCACCCCAUACCCACAAGUAUCACAACAGAAAACACAUUAUUUAGUACAAUUGCAUUAUUAGCGACUCCCCUGCAACCUCACACUAUAUGUUAAGUUUUUAUAAGUUUAGUGACCACAAGUGCAGUCAGUGCAGGUGCAGCCAGCACCGCACUUGCACUUGCCGUCGGGCUCGGCGGCGGGAACCUCCAUGACAACAGUAGAGACAAAGCUGCAAGAGAUGAAACAUUCAAUUAGUGCUGGAUUGCAAGUGUAAAAUCUCAAAUCAAAGUCUUCACAAAAUCUAUGGAAUUUUCAUUAAGUUUUUAUGAACAUUUCCAUCUUAUUUCACCUGUUAAAAGCUUCCUUUUUCAUUUUCCUCAUUGGGUUAUCAUAGUAUUUAACUUGUAUUGUCAUAAAUCAUAACGAAUCAAAAUUAACUCUCGUAUUCUAUUUUCUUGAAUAUAAGACAUUACAAUUCAAAAAAAAUAUAUAUUGGGUGAGAUUGAAUUAUUAAUUGAAUUUGCAUACCUCUUCUCAGUCUCA